AAAUGGAAAACGAAAGCCCACCGACUGCAUUCCAUAAAGCAGCCAAAUCUUCUGAUGAUUUCCCAAUAGGCACCACCAAUGGGCACCCGCCUGCCAUGCCCAUUAUCAUCUCCAUUCACGGACGAUUCUUUACAUGACUGGUGCCAAAGGAUAGAAAAUCCGAACAGUGUGUGAGAAACCAAAAGCAAGAAUCACAACUGAUAGGGAAGAAAGAUAAGAGGAGAAGCAGCAAGGUCAUAAAGGACAGAGGAUGAGAAUCUACUGACAAAGUGAGAACCUAUGAUGUCCGGGUGUCAGACUCUGCAGAGAAGAUGGAGCUGGAAGAUGUCCUGACGUCUGGACCAGAUGGAGAAGGAAAGAAAAGACAACAGAGAAGACGUCACUCAGCCUACGCUGCUGCUUUUGAAAGCCUCUCCUGAGGAAUCAAGAUUCAGCCAUGAGUAAUAAAAAGGAAGAAAAAAAAAAAGCUGCUACCAUCAUUGCAACAUGCUGCGUCUACAAAAAGAUCCGGAAGCUGGCCCUUUUUCUUCCAGUGGCUUGCUGUGCACCUCGGCCUCCGCCAUGUUGUGUUCGGUAAGUGGGAUGGUGGGGUGUGUGUUCUUGCUUCUGUCCUUCCUAUCUUCUGACGUCCAAGGCAAAUCUCUUCUUCCUGUUUCUUCCGUGGCUCAGCGAUGAAUCUGCGGCCUCUUCCGGCGCAUGCACAGGUAGGUUUUUUUUUGUUUGUUUUUUUACCAAUAACAUUUUUUUUGUUUAACUGACAAACUGUUGGAACUCGUUUAAAAAAAAAAAUUCUGUCUAGUCAUCCAGAAGGAGAUGUUCAUUCUGUUUCUUUUAAUUUAGCAUAUAUAGGGUUUUGCCACUCCUCCUUGCAUCUUACUUACAAUACUAUUAAGAUCUACUUAGGAGGUAUCCAACAUUUAACUAAACCCAACAGUCAUUCUUUGUUUUCUUCCCGAUUGAUUAAAGCUGCUUUGAAAGGUAUCCAGAAAGGUGAAGUUCCGCAAAAUCCUACUAGGCAACCUAUUUCCGGGGAACUAUUUAGGAAAUUGUCAGAUGUUUUAAUACAAAACAGGAAUGUGGGUGCACUACUGUGGUAUGCUGGGGAUCGCCCCUAGCAACGGAUUACAAGGGCAGGAUCUGCUCUUCCAGUAUAAAUGCACAACCGCAUUUGGGGUUGAACACCUCCAGCCAUUUGAGACCAAGUUUUUUGUUGUUUGUUUAAAUUUUAUACUUGGAGGUGUGUAAACUCCAAAAUGAAUGCGCCUUGAAUAUCUUCAAGGCAGCAUUAAGGUAGCACCUGUGAGGCUAUGCACCCACAUUAGCCAACUCACGUGGGGCUUGCAACUUGCCUCCCUCCUCACAUUGCAUGUGUGCCCAGUCACGCUGGAGGGUAUCUGGGAGGAAGUUAUGAGUCCUGCGCCAUUUUGAGAAACCUUGGCGUUGGUGUGCGGGCUCUGGUGUGUCCUUCAUAUAAAGAUACACUGGCGAAUGUCUCAAUUUUAACAUCAGUGUUGAGGGAUAGCCAAUGUCAUUGUAUACAUCUACCACAGUAGUGCACCCACAUUCCUGUUUUGUAUUAUUCUUAUUGUUACACAUCCACACCAUUUUUCUGGUGUAGGAUUCUAUUGUGGCACUUGUAGUCCGCUGCAGGCAUCCUCCAUUGUAUGCGUUUUUAUGCUGGGGAUGGCCCCUAGCAAUGGACUACAAGGGCAGGAUCUGCUCCCCGAGUAUAAAUGCACAACCGCAUUUGGGGUUGAGUACCUCCAGCCAUUUGAGACCACGUUUUUUGUGGUUUGUCAGAUGUUUUAGUCAGUUCUCCUUUUGGUUCACAUAAUAGUUUGUUGAUAAAAGCUGCAAUGUAUUUAGAAUAUUAUGGGUUUCUAUGACCAGGGGAAUUUACUUCCAGAAUGAUCAACGGACAACACCUUAAGGUAAACCAAUUGAAACAUGUUGCCGAGUAUUAUGAAUUGUCCUUAGUUAAUACUAAGACGACUUUGCCAGGGCAGGUUGAAAUGGUAUGUUACUUUGCCACAAUGCACAAAUGGUGCCCGGCAGGUUGAAUUGGUAUGUUACUUUGCCACAAUGCACAAAUGGUGCCCGGUUAAAGUACUCAAUGUUAUGUCGGAAAAGUGUUCUGGUUACAGUUCAGAAGCUCCUUUAUUAUUGUUCAAUGACAAUGAGUUAACUACGUCUCAAUGUAUUAAACAUCUACGCAUUUUAAUUAGACCUCUAGGUGGUGAUCCCUCAGCACUUUCAGGUCAUUCCUUCAGAAUCGUGCUGCUGCCGCAGCCACACAGAAUGGGGUCCCAGUGCACGUUAUCAAGAAAUUGGGGUGCACGAAGUCAGGCUGUUACUUGCGCUAUAUCCCAAAAGAGAUGGCUAACGCUUUCCAAUCAUUA